rnacentral:rRNA from 1 species
GCUGAAUUAUUCACCCUUGUCUUUUGCGUACUUCUUGUUUCCUUGGUGGGUUCGCCCACCACUAGGACAAACAUAAACCUUUUGUAAUUGCAAUCAGCGUCAGUAACAAAUUAAUAAUUACAACUUUCAACAACGGAUCUCUUGGUUCUGGCAUCGAUGAAGAACGCAGCGAAAUGCGAUAAGUAGUGUGAAUUGCAGAAUUCAGUGAAUCAUCGAAUCUUUGAACGCACAUUGCGCCCUUUGGUAUUCCAAAGGGCAUGCCUGUUCGAGCGUCAUUUGUACCCUCAAGCUUUGCUUGGUGUUGGGCGUCUUGUCUCUAGCUUUGCUGGAGACUCGCCUUAAAGUAAUUGGCAGCCGGCCUACUGGUUUCGGAGCGCAGCACAAGUCGCACUCUCUAUCAGCAAAGGUCUAGCAUCCAUUAAGCCUUUUUUUCAACUUUUGACCUCGGAUCAGGUAGGGAUACCCGCUGAACUUAAGCA